GCCAUCAGUGAGAUACCACUCUGGAAGAGCUCGGAUUCUAACCUUGUGUCAGACCCGCGGGCCAAGGGACAGUCUCAGGUAGACAGUUUCUAUGUGGCGUAGGCCUCCCAAAAGGUAACGGAGGCGUGCAAAGGUUUCCUCGGGCCAGACGGACAUUGGUCCUCGAGUGCAAAGGCAGAAGGGAGCUUGACUGCAAGACUCACCCGUCGAGCAGAGACGAAAGUCGGCCUUAGUGAUCCGACGGUG
rnacentral:ncRNA from 1 species